GCUGGGCAUGGUGAUGUGUGCCUGUAGUUCCAGCUACUCAGGAGGCUAAGAUGGGAGGAUUGCUUGAGCCCAGGAGGUCAAGGCUGCAGUGAGCCAAGAUUGUGCCACUGUACUCCAGCCUGGGCAACAGAGUGAGACCCUGUCUCAA
rnacentral:SRP_RNA from 1 species